GAUGAACGCUGGCGGCGUGCCUAAUACAUGCAAGUCGAGCGAACAGACGAGGAGCUUGCUCCUCUGACGUUAGCGGCGGACGGGUGAGUAACACGUGGAUAACCUACCUAUAAGACUGGGAUAACUUCGGGAAACCGGAGCUAAUACCGGAUAAUAUAUUGAACCGCAUGGUUCAAUAGUGAAAGACGGUUUUGCUGUCACUUAUAGAUGGAUCCGCGCCGCAUUAGCUAGUUGGUAAGGUAACGGCUUACCAAGGCAACGAUGCGUAGCCGACCUGAGAGGGUGAUCGGCCACACUGGAACUGAGACACGGUCCAGACUCCUACGGGAGGCAGCAGUAGGGAAUCUUCCGCAAUGGGCGAAAGCUUGACGGAGCAACGCCGCGUGAGUGAUGAAGUUCUUCGGAUCGUAAAACUCUGUUAUUAGGGAAGAACAAAUGUGUAAGUAACUAUGCACGUCUUGACGGUACCUAAUCAGAAAGCCACGGCUAACUACGUG
rnacentral:rRNA from 1 species